rnacentral:rRNA from 1 species
CCCUUAGACGCUCUAGGCGGCACGCGCGCUACAAUGGGUGGUAGAACGUGUAACUGCUCCCGAAAGGGAGGGUGAACCACGAAUACUUACCCGUGAAUGGGAUAGUUUGUUGCAAUUUUCGGACUUGAACUAGGAAUCCCUUGUAAGGAUGCUCAAGAAUAGCGUGCUGAAUACGUCCCUGCCGUUUGUACACACCGCCCGUCGUUUCUUCCGACUGAUACUCAUUGUGAGUUGCAAGGAUUCUUAUUGAAAAAUUGCUGCGAAUGCUUUGUAUUGGAGGAAGAAAAAGUCGUAACA